AUUGAACGCUGGCGGCAGGCCUAACACAUGCAAGUCGAGCGAUAGAGAGAAGCUUGCUUCUCUUGAGAGCGGCGGACGGGUGAGUAAUGCCUAGGAAUCUGCCUGGUAGUGGGGGAUAACGUUCGGAAACGGCCGCUAAUACCGCAUACGUCCUACGGGAGAAAGCAGGGGACCUUCGGGCCUUGCGCUAUCAGAUGAGCCUAGGUCGGAUUAGCUAGUUGGUGGGGUAAUGGCUCACCAAGGCGACGAUCCGUAACUGGUCUGAGAGGAUGAUCAGUCACACUGGAACUGAGACACGGUCCAGACUCCUACGGGAGGCAGCAGUGGGGAAUAUUGGACAAUGGGCGAAAGCCUGAUCCAGCCAUGCCGCGUGUGUGAAGAAGGUCUUCGGAUUGUAAAGCACUUUAAGUUGGGAGGAAGGGCAGUAAAUUAAUACUUUGCUGUUUUGACGUUACCGACAGAAUAAGCACCGGCUAACUCUGUG
rnacentral:rRNA from 1 species